UGUGUUGCUGUAUUGGUGUUAUCCCCAGUACCUGCAUUUUUUGAGUCAGCUUGAGUCUUUCCAAUGGAUUGUGUUUCCUUUGGAAUUGCUUCUCUCCCCAGUGAGGUCUCCAGUCUGAUUUCUGUUACCCCCUAAUCAGAGUCGUGUCUUGCGCACGUUGUGUCAGUUGUGUUUUCCCCAACUCGAAGUCGUGUCCUGCUCACGCAUUCUUUUUCUUUUAUUAUCCCCGAUAAGAAUCCCC
rnacentral:lncRNA from 1 species